CUUGCUUCUCUUGAGAGCGGCGGACGGGUGAGUAAUGCCUAGGAAUCUGCCUGGUAGUGGGGGAUAACGCUCGGAAACGGACGCUAAUACCGCAUACGUCCUACGGGAGAAAGCAGGGGACCUUCGGGCCUUGCGCUAUCAGAUGAGCCUAGGUCGGAUUAGCUAGUUGGUGAGGUAAUGGCUCACCAAGGCGACGAUCCGUAACUGGUCUGAGAGGAUGAUCAGUCACACUGGAACUGAGACACGGUCCAGACUCCUACGGGAGGCAGCAGUGGGGAAUAUUGGACAAUGGGCGAAAGCCUGAUCCAGCCAUGCCGCGUGUGUGAAGAAGGUCUUCGGAUUGUAAAGCACUUUAAGUUGGGAGGAAGGGCAGUAAAUUAAUACUUUGCUGUUUUGACGUUACCGACAGAAUAAGCACCGGCUAACUCUGUGCCAGCAGCCGCGGUAAUACAGAGGGUGCAAGCGUUAAUCGGAAUUACUGGGCGUAAAGCGCGCGUAGGUGGUUUGUUAAGUUGGAUGUG
rnacentral:rRNA from 1 species